AGAUGAAUAUCCUUACUAAUGAUUCGCAACCUUAACUGUGAAUGUCAAAUGAAGAUGCAUAAAUUAAAAGGAAAAGAGGUAAUCAGCAACAGUCAAAGGAGAAAAGAGAACAAGUUGGGAACAACAAAUAAAAGCAAACGUGCUAGAGAUGAAUAAUUACUAUCAAGACAAAAUGUUAACUUGUGAAAAGUAUAUUUAAUUCUAGGUGUGAAUCGGAAGAAAACAUUAAGUGUGGGACCACUUUCCACUGAUAAAAGAAGAUACAAAAUCACUAAAAUGUCACCUUCCUUAUUAAUGUUCCAUUAAGUUACAGUUUAGAUGACAAUUAGGAAAAAUAUUCACAAAGCCGAAUCUACCAAGCUCUUUUAUAGUUAACAGAGAAAGGGACAGUUGGAUAUCUUAACUUUAGCCUUUGUGUGAGUCACCUGCUGAAGAACCUAAAGAAACAGGCCUAUAGAGAGUGUUAACUUUUAUAAAUACUCUAAUGAUAUCUUUACACAUUUACAUUUGGAGUUCUCUGAUUACUGGGUUAAGAGAAAAAAGUAUUGAACUUGUAAAUGAGAAUUUGAAUAACAAUACUAACUGAAUCACUACUGCCAGCUUUCCAAAGCUUCAUUUUUAUACGGAUAAGUUGCCAUGUCAUAAAAAGCUUUUAAAUUUACAUCCUGGUUCAAGGAUGUUGGUUUAGAAUUAAAAGUUUGUCUCCUGCUGAAUUAUCUUUCUUAAUAGCUUCCAUUCUAUUUUGUAUGCAGUGAUCAUAAAAAGUUCUUGAAGUUAUAAAGUGAAAGAUCAUUGUGAUCAAGUACUUUUCUCUCUCGUAAUAUGCAUCUGAACAUUAUGUAAACACAAACAAAUAGGUCUAAAUACAUCCUGAUGCCCACAAAUAAUUAGAAGCCAAGACAGCUUUCUGCUCUACUGCCUUUGGUUUCUGAGUUGUGAAAGCCCUAUGAAUACUUGAAAAAUUUGCUUGGGAUGUUGAAUCUGAAAGGACUCACAAGAGAUGUUCACUCCUCUUGACCUUAUGCUACAAAGUCUUAUCAGUCCACUGCAGAGAACAAACAAAACAAACAACCUCUUUAACUCUUAGAUCUUGGAAACAUCAUGGAUUUCAAAUAAUAAUAUUUUUUGUACUCUUCAGAGAAGAAAAGUUACAGUCAUAGAGUAUGGAAAAAUUAUAUGCAGGUGGGCUGCCAUAAUUCAAGAAUUUGACUUCAUUUAGCACAGGAAACUGAGGGUGUGAAAACAUUAAUGCUGACACACUAUCCAGAUGGCUAGUUUACCAUGUGCAAGAAGACAGUACGGCAGAGAUUAUGCUGGAGCCAAAAAUUACACGUGGAGAUGGAACAAACUUCUGAAAGUCAGUCUCUUAAAUGUGCCACUAUACAAAUUAAUCUAAACUGAUAUAUUCAUCUAUUGCCCUACUAAAAUAUUACUGAUAGAAUAUUACAGACAAGCUGUUCUGAAAACCAAGAUACUCUUCUAUUGCUAUUUUUAUGAUGCCUAAGAUGAUCCAUCACAACCCCUUUUGUACAUCUGUUCUUCACAAUGUUGUAUGAGAGACAGCCUAUGCACUUGAAAUAUAUGAAUACAUGUUACAAUGAGUACAGCAGGUGAAGUGAAUACCAACACAUUUUAAUAGGCUUCCUAAAGAAUAUGGCUUGUGUUACACUGACAAGAGAAAGAAUAUUAAAGGUACUUACAGAUUCCUAUAAUCACUUGUACAAACCUGAUAAGACUUAACUGGAAGUUCUGUUUUUAAGCAAAAUAUCUUCUUCUUGGACAGGAAUUAUUUUCUUACGUAAAUAGUUUCAAAAACUUAGAAAUUUUAAGUUGAAUUAGGGCAUACUAGUAACUGAACUGAAGCAUUAACUUUGAAAAUAUUUACCAGGAUUAUCCUUAGAAAACUUUGAAUUGGGAGAAAUAAAAAAGUAAAUGCCACACUCUUGGAAUAAUGGUGGGAUUUGUUUAUGCAAAUAACAUUUUUGAGUAAGAUGUUAUAUUCUUUGCAAGGACACUGUAUGUCCACAGCAAAAGAAAUAAAGAAUAACUGAAAGCAGUAGACAGAGUAAUUGACUGUAUAGGAAUUCAGAACAUUUGUCUUUACUACAUAUUUGUGAAAAGUUUUGUAGUUUUUUUUUUCUUUUUUUUUCUCCUUUCUAUUUCCAUUGUUUUGGUGUUCACUCAAACUAGUAUAUCAGAGCUUUCACUCAAAGACUUCUUUUAUUUGUAUAUGCUCAACCUAAUGGGUCUAUAAUGCCAAUGGAGGGUCAAGAAAUAAUCAGAGUAGAUGACAAAAUAAUUUUCUGUCUUAAAUAUAUGUUUGCAAAACAAAGAAAGUUAUUAUGAACAUAAAUUAAAUAGAUGUUAAUUCAAGAUAUUUCACAGCUUUGUAUGAUGUAGCUCAAAAUGUCUCAACUUAGAAACAAAAUUCAGUUACAUGUGAAGCACAGUUACAUCAGCUUAAAUGAACAAAAUUGAGCAGAAAUUUUGCAGAACACAUUUCCAGAGCAAAGUGAAAUGCAUAGUGUUGAACCUACGCUGGAUAGUUGGUUAUUUCCAAAACAAAUAAAUAUAUACAUAUAUUAGAAAGGUAUACAGUGGAUCUGCAAAUCUUGAAAAUUUUACAAAAUAUUUGUCCAUCAAAAGCAAGAAGAUUCACUUAAAUAAUCUCACACCAGAAACUAACACAGAAACCACAGCAGCGAAAAGCCUAUGGACAGGUCAAUUUCCCUAGAUUGCCAUGUUGCAGGUACGUA